AGAGCCGUAGCUCAGUGGUAGAGCAGCAGAGUGUCUGCUUGUCAUGCAGAAGGUCCCAGGUUCAAUCCCCGGCGUCUCUA